UACAGAGGUCCCAAGCGUUGUUCUGAUUCAUUGGGCGUAAAGGGUGCGUAGGCGGCGUGGUAAGUCGGGUGUGAAAUCUCGGAGCUUAACUCCGAAACUGCAUUCGAUACUGCCGUGCUUGAGGACUGGAGAGGAGACUGGAAUUUACGGUGUAGCGGUGAAAUGCGUAGAUAUCGUAAGGAAGACCAGUGGCGAAGGCGGGUCUCUGGACAGUUCCUGACACUGAGACACGAAGGCCAGGGGAGCAAACGGG
rnacentral:rRNA from 1 species